GCUCCAGUGGCCGAGUGGUUAGAGCGUCCGCCUCAGAUGUGGGAGAUCAUGGGUUCGAUCCUUGGUCGAGUCA